GUCUUCCUUCUCUGCACGCCCAGGCCUGGCCUCUGCCACCUUCCAGGAGGUUCCCUCCAGGACUACCUCUCUGCCCGCUCCUUCAAAACAGCCUUUUCUCUGCAGAGUGCCUGCUCACUGGCGACAACUCAAACAGUAACGCCAAGGUCACGACGGAGGGAAAACGGCCCCGACCUGACUACCCCAGAGAAAGCUCCGCCUGGACAGCCGGGCCUGGACGAGCCACGGCCUUGUGCCCACCAGCGGUCGGACCGCCAAGUGGCUCCCCGCGGCAGAGGGUCUCAGAGCCCCGCCCUCCCCGCAGGCCGGAACUGGGCCACGUGCAGGAGGGGGCUGGAGUGUCCCCCGUCCCCGGCCGGCCCGCUGUGUGCGGGGCGCCGGCACCUGGAGCGCCUCCAGGUCUGGGUUCGAGCCGCAGCCGUGGGCCCCGACGGGCUCUGCGGAGCAGGCAUCGGCGGGGGGGAGGAGGGGAGCACCCUUCCUCUGCAAGGAGGGGUGAGGGGCAGGGCCGAAGGGGGGGGCGUUCCUAGCUGUCCUAGCCCGGCGUCUUCGAGCACCCCCAACGUGCUGCGGCGCCACCAACGCGGCAAGCUGUCUUCUCCGAAGCGCUGCGGGCGGCUUCGAUGCACCUGCGAGCCCGGCUUGGGGGUGUGCGUCUCGCUCGCUGCCACCCGAUGCCUGUCUCAGGACACGCUGACCUCCGGGAAGGCCACCCCCUGCUCUGCACCUCCCCACGGGGCACCUGGCAGCUCUCCCGCUUCGUCUCCGGCCUUCAGUCACCGCGGGCGGGGGCUGCCACACGACACCCCCGCCGCCCCGGGCAGCCCGCAGCGGGCAGGGCGGCGCCCACGCCUUAGACCACCUCGACCCGGAAGUGCUUCGCGGCACUUCCCUUUACCUUCCAUUGGUGAGGCCUGGUCACGUGGGGGCGCGCGGCCGCAAGGGAGGCUGGGAAACGGCCCGGGCCAGCUUCAGCUUCCAGCCACGGCUCUGGGCGGCGCCCAGGGACUCGGGCGCUCCCUGGGCCGCUGGGCGAUGCCACCGCAGGCCCGGGGCCUCCGCGCCCCCAGGGCCGGGAGCACCUCCCUGGGGGGACCUGAGCCUCCCCCCGGCGUUUUGUGCUGA
rnacentral:lncRNA from 1 species